UACAGAGGUCUCAAGCGUUGUUCGGAUUCAUUGGGCGUAAAGGGUGCGUAGGUGGCGCCGUAAGUCGGGUGUGAAAUUUCGGAGCUUAACUCCGAAACUGCAUUCGAUACUGGCGUGCUUGAGGACUGGAGAGGAGACUGGAAUUUACGGCGUAGCAGUGAAAUGCGUAGAUAUCGUAAGGAAGACCAGUGGCGAAGGCGGGUCUCUGGACAGUUCCUGACACUGAGACACGAAGGCCAGGGGAGCAAACGGG
rnacentral:rRNA from 1 species